GCCCCUGUAGCUCAGCUGGACAGAGCAUCGCAUUCCUAACGCGAGGGUCGGAGGUUCGAAUCCUCUCGGGGGUA
rnacentral:tRNA from 1 species